rnacentral:rRNA from 1 species
GCGGUGAAUACGUUCCCGGGCCUUGUACACACCGCCCGUCACACCAUGGGAGUUGGCUGCACCAGAAGAGGCUAGUCUAACCGAAAGGAGGACGGUCUCCACGGUGUGGUCAAUGACUGGGGUGAAGUCGUAACAAGGUAGCCGUAGGGGAACCUGCGGCUGGAUCACCUCCUUU